GCCAGUGUGGCGUAGUGGUUUGAGUGUUGGACUAUGACUGUAGAGAUCAGGGUUUGAUUCUCCUCUCAGCCA
rnacentral:tRNA from 1 species